GAACUGGCAGCCUGUCACUGCGAGCGUUGCUGAGAGUGGAGAGCAUUCUGUCCAUCAUUGACGCUCAAUUCGGACCUGUUCUACCAACAACUGGACCGCUCAUGCAGAAGAGACCAUUUUUUGAUCAAUAGAGGUCCAAUUCACUUCCAUCAGGACAACGCAAGAUGACGGGCCAGAAGCUCCGUGAGCUCGGAUGGGAGGUUAUUUUGCAUCCACCGUAUAGCGAUUACCAUCUGUUUCUGUCCAUGGCGAAUGAGCUUGGUAGUCGGAAGUUUUUUUCCAACAAGGGAGCAAGCUUCUAUAAGAGGGCAUUUUGAAGUUGACAUCUCGGUGGGUACUAGUCAUCGGACAAAACGGCGCAUAUAUUUGACAUUAAUCGCAUGAUUGUAACCAAUUUUAUGAAUAAUUGAGAACUCAAUAUAUAUGCCGCAAGACUUUUUGACACCCUUGUA